rnacentral:pre_miRNA from 1 species
CAUCAAUAAGAGAAUUGUAAGUCACUUGAUUAGGAAAUUUUACGGAGACUUACAAUUCCGUAUUGAUG